GACGAACGCUGGCGGCGUGCUUAACACAUGCAAGUCGAACGGAAAGGCCCUGCUUUUGUGGGGUGCUCGAGUGGCGAACGGGUGAGUAACACGUGAGUAACCUGCCCUUGACUUUGGGAUAACUCCAGGAAACUGGGGCUAUUACCGGAUAGGAGCUCCUGCGGCAUGGUGGGGGUUGGAAAGUGUCGGCGGUUUGGGCUGGACGCGCGGCUUAUCAGCUUGUUGGGCGGGGAGUGGCUUACCAAGGGUUUGACGGGUAGCCGGCCUGGGAGAGUGACCGGCCACCUUGGGACUAAGAGACGGCCCAGACUGCUACGGGAGGCAGCAGUGGGGAAUAUUGCACAGUGGGCGGAAGCCUGAUGCAGCGACCCCGCGUGCGGGAUGACGGCCUUCGGGGUGUAAACCGCUUUCGCCUGUGACGAAGCGUGAGUGACGGUAAUGGGUAAAGAAGCACCGGCUAACUACGUG
rnacentral:rRNA from 1 species